AAGUAAGGUUGUUCAGCUAAAAGCGCGACGUCCUGUCGCAACGCUGAACGAGCCUUCAUCUUGAAGG
rfam:Bacillus sp. SJS contig_03, whole genome shotgun sequence.